AGCAAGAUAGAGUAGUGGUCAACUCGCUUAACCGCUUGCAGGUAAGAGGUAAUGGGUUCGAAUCCCAUUCUUGCAA
rnacentral:tRNA from 1 species